GCCAGCUCUAGAGAGAGAAACACACACAAAGAGACAACAGCAAUGGAGUGAACAGAGAGAGAGAAAUUGAAAUUUCUCUUCUAAAUUUUUUUUGUACUUCUCUCUCUGUAUUUUUUUCAUCAUUGUUCAUCACAUUUGGCGUGAUUAACUGCUAUUUUCGAUUUGAAUUUCGAAUCUCAGUGAAACUAUGAGUCGUUUAGGGUUCAAAUCCCUGGUGUUUCAAGGAGAAACGUGUUUGGGAGAGCUGGAUACCAUACCUGUGAAGGAUCAGAACUUCCAAUUCCCAAACAACGAGAUACGGAUUGAUCAUAUCUCUACAAAUAGUGAGCGAGUUCAUCCUAUUGCUGUUUUGAGAACGAUUUCAUCACCUGUUCGUUGUAAGCUUGAACCGAACUCGAAUUCAGCGCCAACUGGUUCCGAGAAGUCUCCGUUGAUAACUCUUCAUUCCUCGUGCUACUAUGACCUCAAGACUGCAGUAGUCUUUCUGGGGG
rnacentral:misc_RNA from 1 species